rnacentral:tRNA from 1 species
GCGCCCGUAGCUCAGCCGGAUAGAGCAUCUGCCUUCUAAGCAGAGGGUCGCAGGUUCGAGUCCUGCCGGGCGUA